rnacentral:rRNA from 1 species
CAGCAGCCGCGGUAAUACGAAGGGUGCAAGCGUUACUCGGAAUUACUGGGCGUAAAGCGUGUGUAGGUGGUUGUUUAAGUCUGUCGUGAAAGCCCCGGGCUCAACCUGGGAAUUGCGAUGGAUACUGGGCGACUAGAGUGCGGUAGAGGAUAGUGGAAUUUCCGGUGUAGCAGUGAAAUGCGUAGAGAUCGGAAGGAACAUCUGUGGCGAAGGCGACUAUCUGGGCCAACACUGACACUGAGACACGAAAGCGUGGGGAGCAAACAGGAUUAGAUACCCCUGUAGUCCCUGUCUCUUAUAC